CACUGGGAUCUCCCUGGUCCUUAAAGUUACCUGGAAGUGACAACUCCCUAACUCCUUUCCUGUCAGCAAGCCACCAAGGAGUCAUCCCCAAGGCCUGAGUACAUGUGGCAGCAUGAAAAACCUUUGGAACCACUAACACAGCAGAGCACCUAGAGUGGACCCAGGGUACCUGAUAGGUCCUUUUUCCUUUGGCACACAGACCAUUUUCUAUAGGGAUUCCAGAAUCCUAUAAGAUUCUCUAGGGUCUUCUGCAGGAAUUGGCAUAUCACUUGGGACUUUAUCACCCACACCUAUAAUCUUUACAUUCUGAAGAUACUCCAUUCCUCUGGAUCACAAAACGACCGAGCCUUGUAUUUUCUGACACAACAUGCUGUAGCUCCUCCUGUGGCUUCCUCAAGAGUGAACUAUCCUGAGCCCUGGCCUCAUCACUCAGACCUCCAGCCCUGGCAACCAUCAGGACCCAGACAUGGCUAACAGAGACCUACCAGUUCUCCAGGCCCUUUCUUUCUCCCUUUUGCUCUCAUGUGCUUUCAUUUAAAAUAUCUCAGAUUCAUCAGUUCCAUUCACCCAUCUUUUUCCCACAGAUCCCCUGAAUAAAGGAGAAGCAGACACUGUUUGCAUGAGGAAGCCUGUUCUGAUUGUGUCAGUGCUAAACCUCCUCAGUGGUAAAUAAAUCACCCCAGUCUCCAUAGUUACUAACCUCAAUCAUGUCAUGAGCUUCAGACACACAGUAAAAAUAAAGAUACUUGAGGCUGCAUGAACAUCAGACUUCAUGAGCCUCUGAGGUGACUUGGACUUAGUCCUCAGGCCAGACAACUCGGUUUCCAGAGCCUGAUUUUUCAUGAUUAUUCUCUUAUUCUUUUGUCUGUGUAUAGCUGGUAUCAAG
rnacentral:lncRNA from 1 species